AUACGUAGGGGGCGAGCGUUGUCCGGAAUGAUUGGGCGUAAAGGGCGCGUAGGCGGCGCGGUAAGUCUGGAGUGAAAGUCCUGCUUUCAAGGUGGGAAUUGCUUUGGAUACUGCCGCGCUUGAGUGCAGGAGAGGUUAUCGGAAUUCCCGGUGUAGCGGUGAAACGCGUAGAUAUGCCACAGAACGCCGAUAGCGGAGGCAGCUCGCCAGGCCUGCAUUGACGCUCGGGCACGAAAGCGUGGGGAUCGAACAGGAUUAGAUACCCUGGUAGUCCACGCCGUAAACGAUGGGCGCUCGUCGUCGGCGGCAGACAGUCGGCGGCCAAGCGAAAGCGAUAAGCGCCCCACCUGGGGAGUACGGUCGCAAGGCUGAAACUCAAAUGAAUUGACGGGG
rnacentral:rRNA from 1 species